rnacentral:rRNA from 1 species
GAUAAACGCUGGCGGCGUGCAUAACACAUGCAAGUCAAACGGGCGAGAAGGAGGUGCUUGCACCACUUUCAAGCAAGUGGCGGACGGGUGAGUAACGCGUGGAGAACCAACCUGGUGGAGGGGGACAACUUAGAGAAAUCUGAGCUAAUACCGCAUAACAUAUAUUUGUGGCAUCACAGAUAUAUCAAAGGAGAAAUCCGCUUGAAGAUGAGCUCGCGUCCCAUUAGCUAGUUGGCGGGGUAGAGGCCCACCAAGGCGACGAUGGGUAGCCGGACUGAGAGGUUGAACGGCCACAUUGGGACUGAGACACGGCCCAGACUCCUACGGGAGGCAGCAGUGGGGAAUAUUGCGCAAUGGGGGAAACCCUGACGCAGCAACGCCGCGUGAUUGAAGAAGGCCUUCGGGUUGUAAAGAUCUUUAAUCAGGGACGAAGGAAGUGACGGUACCUGAAGAAUAAGCUCCGGCUAACUACGUGCCAGCCGCCGCCGUAAUAC